UUUUUUAUGCAUUUUUGUUUUAUUCGAUGAAAUCGCCUAGGUGGUUCUUGUUUUUGGAUGAAAUAUUUCCGCGUGUUAUACCUCCAAACUUAGAAUUUUCUGAAACAUGAACUUCAUGUGAUUUUGAAAAGCAAAAAAUUAAAGGAGAACAUACCUGCACAGUGCAACACCAAUUCAUAGCACACACAACACUAUGUGCUAGUACACGCAUGCAAGCAUUAUGCUGGUGGAGGUGCUUUGGUAGAAAACUGGAGAAGAAAUUUCUUCACACAAGUUCUGAAAUUUAGAACCACAAGCUGACUCAAGUUUAUCUAUGCUAAGUUGCUAACAGACACAAGAGGCACUUCCUAAACCGACAUCUCAAUGAAAAAUACAGUUCUGGAUUCUCAUGUCAUAGUGUCCGAGGCGGCGACACUUCUGAAGAGGUGGACGAUCGACGGUCAGGAGUCCCACUCUUAUCUUUCUCUACUCUGCAUUGACAUUUCGGUACCGCAGGUCUGCGUGCGCUGAAUUAGAAUAGAAAAUGAGGAAGUUAGGCAUCAUGUCACACGUAGUGCAACAGUUUGAGAAGAUCAAUAAUUUAAAUAUCAAUGUUUUACAGAAUUAACGAAUAACUGUAGGAUUAUGCACAAAAAGCCUGAAAAACAACAUUUCAUGAAGUACUGUAGAAUUAACCUGAAUUUGUUUCACAUGUUGUUCAAAGAAUCUAUAGUACAAAUAACUUGACUGAGUUGGGUAUCUAAGUUCCAAAGUUUCUACAAGUGACAAAUAGUGCCGAUGGGAUAACUAAACUAUUUGUAUCAAGGACAGUACUAUGAAACCAAUAAUUUCAGUGUCAGGGUUUAAUGUGAAUAUGUUAUGAUUUGGUCCCCAAACAAACUGGAUUUAGAUUACCUUCUAGCAUCUUUACAACAGGCAUAAUGCAAAUACCAACUGUUUCCAUUCAACUCCCUACUAACAUAUAAUACUACAACAGUCCACACAACUCCCAAUUCUGAACUAAAGAUUAGCAACAGUUGCAGAAUACAACAAUUUUAGUAAACUGUUACUCCAUUAAAAUAGGAACUAGGAAGUUGGCAAUGGCGCAUCUCACCUGGCGUCCCGGCCACUGACGACGAUUUUUUCCAGUGUAUUCAAUGUUUUUCAGUCAAAUACUUUUUAUUGUGUGUGAGAGAGAAGCAGCAACGUAAUGUGUGUGAGAGAGCAACUAGUUGAGGAAACCAACCAACACAUGAUACUUUUUAUUGUAAAGAACGGAGAAUACUUUUUUUAUCAUGUCUUUCCAAUUUGAACCUCACUAAAAAAAUAUUGGAUUCAAUAUUUUUUCAGUGUUUCCAUAUUGGUUGAACUUGCUGCUUUCUCAAAAUUGAACUUCUAAUUCUUUACUCCAUGAACACAAAAAACUAACACUAUAAAACCAAUAUGGAAAACAAACAUGACUAAAAAUAGUUUUUUUAAUUCAAUGUAAUACGCGCGCGCCCACACACACACAAGAGAUCCACAAUUUUCUUUUUGUCUAUAUUUUUUAUACAAAAUGACCUUGUUUGUGUCAACUUAGAUAAACUUCCCCCGUGAGCAACAAUACAUGAACUUCUCCUGGCUUGUGGGCAGGGGAGGAGGGGCGACUGACUGGGGCGGCGGCUGCGUUCCUCUCACACUGGGAGAACCCGAGCUCGCGAUGGAGUGUUCUGGGCGGCCAACUCAUCUGGCAGGAUAGGAUGGACGGAGUACAGCGACGAGCACCUCCAGUCUGCUAGGGCCAACAAUGGAACAUGGCUUUGCAAACUUGUGUCAGAGAAAGAAAGGGCAGCUCAAAUUGCAUCUGCACUACAGUUAAAACACAAAUGUGGAGGAGGGACUGAGGAUCCAUUUCAUGAAGCAAAGGGGAGAGGAGCGAAAGGAGACGCACCUGACUUCUUAGUUCGAUGCCACUGUGAUCUAGGGGUUGUGGCAGCGAACUUCCUGGGGCCGCAUUGUUGAACGGCCCGAGAUGGCGGUGUUGGUGUUCCCAAACGCCUCUUUGUUGUGAAUCCACAUAGUCACCUUGUUCCAAGUUGGGGUGUGUCCUCUUCAACCUACAUCAUCACCAGGGAGUCACAAACUGAGGCGCACCACUGCGUGUGAAGCUACAAUUUUGACUCAACUAGCUAAAACAUGAUUUUUGCUUCCCACUUUGUUGCGAAUCCACUCCAUCACUACACACACACUAUUGUUUACUAACAGAAGAAAACAUAUGAUUUAGAUAAUGGAACGUCGGUCUCAGAAUUUCAUCUAAUAAAUUACGAAUGAGCUAAGAAAUGAAAAAGGGUGGGAAGAACCUAUCUGAAUCUACUAAAAAAUACAUGUCUGGACCUUAAUCCCCAUUCACUCUAAACUUCCCUCAAAACCUGCCGUGUGAUCCACCGCUGUAAAUUCGGACGAGCACCAUGUGAUGCAGUUCAAUCAUCCAAGAGGGUAAGGAGGAAGCAGCAGCACGGGGAAGGUCGCUGCUCUUCUUAGCUUUCCAUCAACUGACUGAUUACAAUCAUAUCAUAUGGGAAGUUCUGACACCACGUUCUCUUAGACUUAGUGGUGUGUUUGCAAAUCGUUAAGAACAACAUCGCCAUCUGGUGCUACAGGUUUAUUGCAGCAGCCAUCAGAACCAUCCGUCAACUGAUGCACUGCAGCUCUUAGGUUCUACUAUACAUAACACACAAUUGACAACUGCUAUAUACCACUACCAAUGUAAUCUUGUUUGGCCAUACAGAUGCCAUCUAAAAUAAUAAUUAGAUAAUACCAUACUGCUGAGAGUAAAAACUUACAUCAAAGGGGAUACAGAUAGGCUGAAGGUACCUGCGAGUGAGAGGAAUCUUGGAAAGCAGCAACCGAGCCCAAAUAAUCGAUGAGCGAGGUGCUUUAGCGGCGGCGUGAGGCUGCGGCAGGAGGUAGCUGCAGCCCCCAGUGGUGCUGGUCGGUCACCCUAGUCACCCACGGCAGUGCUUGGAUGUGUAGGGCGGCGCUGGGCGUCCAGCUGACGGCGCGCCAGUGGCCCAGGUGGUCGGGCGGGACGGUGGGCGGGGC
rnacentral:lncRNA from 1 species